rfam:Tribolium castaneum strain Georgia GA2 linkage group LG2, whole genome shotgun sequence.
UUUUAAUGAUGAUUUUUAAAAGUCAGUUCUGCUUCUGAUUAAAAUUGAAGACACCUACUUUUCUGAUGU